rnacentral:rRNA from 1 species
UACGUAGGGGCCUAGCGUUGUCCGGAUUUAUUGGGCGUAAAGCGCGUGUAGGCGGCUUGGCAAGUCAGAUGUGAAAGCCCUCGGCUUAACCGAGGAAGUGCGUCUGAAACUGCUGAGCUUGAGUCUCGGAGAGGAUGGCGGAAUUCCGCAAGUAGAGGUGAAAUUCGUAGAUAUGCGGAGGAACACCGGUGGCGAAGGCGGCCAUCUGGACGAGUACUGACGCUGAGACGCGAAAGCGUGGGGAGCAAACAGG